GGAAGUGGGAGUCGGGUCGUGAUGUGACAGUCAAAGGACUUAGCCGGAAAGGGUAGAGUUAAUGCAUGACAGACAAGGGGACUCUCAUCUGAAAAUUUGUGUGUCUUUGUUUCUUCUCAGGUUCUCCUUACUAUGACAAUGUCCGCCCCCUCUCUUACCCUGAUUCGGAUGCUGUGCUGAUUUGCUUUGACAUCAGUAGACCAGAGACCCUGGACAGUGUCCUCAAAAAGUGGAAAGGUGAAAUCCAGGAAUUUUGUCCAAAUACCAAAAUGCUCUUGGUCGGCUGCAAGUCUGAUCUGCGGACAGAUGUUAGUACAUUAGUAGAGCUCUCCAAUCACAGGCAGACGCCAGUGUCCUAUGACCAGGGGGCAAAUAUGGCCAAACA
rnacentral:sRNA from 1 species